AAGGCCGUGGUAAAACAAGAAUGAGUUACAUGACCCAACGAAAAGCCAAAGGAAUCAAGAAAAAUCUUCAAUGGAACGAUUUGGGACAACCAAUAGGUGAUGUGUAUACAAACAUGAUAUCAUAUCUUGGAUCUAGAGUACGAGCCACGAUUUCUAUCAACUCAGGUGAUUGGAGGAAGGUCCCACAAGAUUUGAAAGAUGGUCUAUGGGAGGAUAUCAUUGGUGGUAGCAACAUUCCUCAAACCUUCAAACGUGAGAUUUUGAAAAAAGCUGGUCAAAUAAUGAGAGAUUUUAAAAGUGAACUCACUACCGAGUACAUCAAACCUUUGGCUGAAAUGGGUAUGAUGGAAGAACUCAAAUUUCCCCCAAAAAAUAAAGUUCUUGUGACAGAGCUAGACCGAAAAAUUGCCAAAAAGAUAGAGGACGACAAAGAAAAAUUGAUUCGUGGCGAAAUUACAGCUCAGGGUCGAGAUGACAUCUUGACUCAAGCAUUAGGGACACCAGAACACCCAGGUCGUGUUCGAGCUGGCGAGUAUGAUAAUUUAUAAUAGUUGUUUUCUUUUAAGAAUUAUUUAGAUUGGUUUAUUGAUGGACUUUAUUGAUUUUUUUUGUAGGUUCACUGCGACCGUUUCCAAAAUGUUUGGAAAAAAAACAUAAAACAAUGACUGCAAGAGAGGAGAUUGCUCGACUAAAAGCUGAGAUUGAAGAGUUAAAAAGACAUAAAUUUAGCACAGAAGAGGAAUUAGCUCAAAAUGAAGAAUAUAAUGAGGAAAACGAUGAGUGUGGAUACUACGAUGAAGGGCAAUUUGAUGAGGGACAAUAUUAUGAGAAUACAAGUGAUGAAGUCUAUCGACCUGCCCCCAACGCAGAUGAUCAUUUUCAUCAAACCGAAGACUAUCCUUUUGUUGAAGAUGAUGGAUCAUCAAUUUAUGAGUCUCCGCCACCACCGAGCUAUGAAGUUUAUUUGUGUUCUGAUAAUAUUGACAAUGUGGUGGCUAAGGGUGUACUCAUUGUACCAAACAUGGGUAGCCAAAUUACCGUCCAUGGAAAUGUACUUGAUGAUUCAGUUGCGAGGGUUUGGCUUAUAGAUGUCUUACAAGAAGAAGCUGAGAUCCCUAUUCCCUUUGGUAACGUACGAUAUGUUGGGGACGCACGAGACACAUUCCUGCCUUGGCCUAAAAAUUUAAUUGUCGCUUGUCAGGGUCCAUCUUCAUCUAAUCACAAAUCCCUAUCACCAAGCCCACAUUUAUCAUCAGUUGGAUCUCACGUAGUCAUCCCCGCUGAAAUAACUCAACCAGAACCUUCAAAUUGGUUAACAGAUAACCAAUGGGACAAAAUUGAUCUGAGUCUAAAAUUUAUAGUGAAGGAGUAUUAUUCCAAUAAAGGAAUAGAUGGGGUUGUACAAGUUCCCGUUGACCCGGAGUUUAUAGGAGAACGCGAGGCUAUCUUCAUCACUUUGGAAGACGUUUAUUAAGCGGCCUCCAUGGAUAAUAUUGGAUCCUCAGCUAUGCUGUUUGGUAUGAGAUGCAUUUAGGAAAGCAUGCACCCAAAUUCACGACAAUUAUAUAAAUUUUUUGACACCGAACAUCUUUCUAUUGGCAAUGAUGAAAGUAAAAACUAUACGAUGGAUCUUAUAGCCAAAUGGAUGAUGACUAUGGAUAGAUGAGGCCAAAUAUAUUUCAUUCCUUGGAUUGUUGAUCGACAUUGGAUGUUGGUGCUUGUGAUGAUGCGGGGGAUGACCAUAAUUUUGGACCCUUUAAAAAAUCAUAAAUCUCCACCAAUAAUUACGGAGGUUAUGGAAAAAGCAUACGCACAAUGUUUGGAAAAUGAAUACAUCGGCACAUUUACAAAAUUGGUGAGAGGUUCUUGUCCAAAACAACCUGAAAGUCAUGAAUGUGGUUAUUAUGUACUAAGAUAUAUUUAUGAUCUUGUAAAUGCACCGAAUCCAGCAGAAGUUAUCAAGAAGAAAUGGUUUGACAAAAAGCAAUUCAAUGUCAAAGAGGAUCUACUACCACUACAAAGUGAUUGGUUAGCUAGAUUAAUGUCAUUUGUUUAUGAAAUCUAAACUUUUGUAUGUAUGUAAGAUUAAAGUGCUAAC